UGUGUGUGUUGUAGUCGGAGAACAGCGACUGAUCUUCGCAGGCAAACAGCUGGAGGACGAUGCUCUGCUGGUUUCAUGUGGAAUCCAAGACAAGACAACCAUUGAGUUAAUUCUAAAUGUCUCUGUCAUCGUGAAAGAUUUGACUGGGAAGACCAUAAAGAUCGACCUACAUGAGUUUGAGAGCGUCUCAGUGCUGCAGCUGAAGGAGAAGUUGGAGCCUCUAACAGGAGAACCAGUAGGAGAACAGCGACUGAUCUUCGCAGGCAAACAGCUGGAGGACGAUGCUCUGCUGGUUUCAUGUGGAAUCCAAGACAAGACAACCAUUGAGUUAAU